rnacentral:lncRNA from 1 species
UCUGUAAUUGAUAUUAUUGAACAGAAACUCUCCACGUGUGUUGGUUAUAUUAAUAGUUAGGUCCAAUAUUGAUGUUAGAUAAUUAGGCUUAGAAUAGCUUCUUGAAGUUGUGAUACCCACAAAUCAAUUGUUUAGGUUUAUGUCAUAUUUUUAGAUGUGCAAAGAAGGUUAAAAGAUUGUCACGGAUUAGGGUUUCGGG